CGCCGGCAGAGCAGCCGCCGGAGGGGAUACCGUUCCAGGCGCCAGAGGAGAAGCCGCUCUAGCCGCCGGGGGCAACGAGUCUCCAGGCGCCGGCAGAGCCGCAACAGCCAGAGUAAACGACGCAGAGGUCGCCAAUCUCGAUCACGGAGGAGAUACUGAUCUUUCUGCCAGCUUGCUCCCAUGCGGGGGUGUCCUGGCCAUUGGCUGCCGCCUGCCCCAUGAUCUGAGAAGUCAUCACAGGUCUACCACCACUGGGCAGGCCAACUCACAAUAAACUGCUGAAACA